UCAAACUUGGUCAUUUAGAGGAAGUAAAAGUCGUAACAAGGUCUCCGUAGGUGAACCUGCGGAGGGAUCAUUACUGAGUGAGGGUCUCCUCGACCCGACCUCCAACCCACUGUAAUCAAAGCUUGUUGCCUCGGGGGUGACCCGGACCUUUCGGGUUUGGUGCCCCCGACGGAUUAUCAUCAAACACUGCAUCUAUGCGUCAGUUUAUUGGGAAAUAAAUUAAAACUUUCAACAACGGAUCUCUUGGUUCUGGCAUCGAUGAAGAACGCAGC
rnacentral:misc_RNA from 1 species